rnacentral:rRNA from 1 species
GACGGAGGAUGCAAGUGUUAUCCGGAAUCACUGGGCGUAAAGCGUCUGUAGGUGGUUAGGUAAGUCAACUGUUAAAUCUUGAGGCUCAACCUCAAAAUCGCAGUCGAAACUAUCUGACUAGAGUAUAGUAGAGGUAAAGGGAAUUUCCAGUGGAGCGGUGAAAUGCGUAGAUAUUGGAAAGAACACCGAUGGCGAAAGCACUUUACUGGGCUAUUACUAACACUCAGAGACGAAAGCUAGGGUAGCAAAUGGG